AUUGAACGCUGGCGGCAUGCCUUACACAUGCAAGUCGAACGGUAACGCGGGGCAACCUGGCGACGAGUGGCGAACGGGUGAGUAAUGUAUCGGAACGUGCCCAGUUGUGGGGGAUAACUGCUCGAAAGAGCAGCUAAUACCGCAUACGACCUGAGGGUGAAAGCGGGGGAUCGCAAGACCUUGCGCAAUUGGAGCGGCCGAUAUCAGAUUAGGUAGUUGGUGGGGUAAAGGCUCACCAAGCCAACGAUCUGUAGCUGGUCUGAGAGGACGACCAGCCACACUGGGACUGAGACACGGCCCAGACUCCUACGGGAGGCAGCAGUGGGGAAUUUUGGACAAUGGACGCAAGUCUGAUCCAGCCAUGCCGCGUGCGGGAAGAAGGCCUUCGGGUUGUAAACCGCUUUUGUCAGGGAAGAAACGCUCUGGGUUAAUACCUCGGGGUAAUGACGGUACCUGAAGAAUAAGCACCGGCUAACUACGUGCCAGCCGCCGCCGUAAGAC
rnacentral:rRNA from 1 species